ACACUCUGCGGGAGGCAGCAGUGGGGAAUAUUGGACAAUGGGCGCAAGCCUGAUCCAGCCAUGCCGCGUGAGUGAUGAAGGCCCUAGGGUUGUAAAGCUCUUUCACCGGUGAAGAUAAUGACGGUAACCGGAGAAGAAGCCCCGGCUAACUUCGUGCCAGCAGCCGCGGUAAUACGAAGGGGGCUAGCGUUGUUCGGAUUUACUGGGCGUAAAGCGCACGUAGGCGGACUAUUAAGUCAGGGGUGAAAUCCCGGGGCUCAACCCCGGAACUGCCUUUGAUACUGGUAGUCUUGAGUUCGAGAGAGGUGAGUGGAAUUCCGAGUGUAGAGGUGAAAUUCGUAGAUAUUCGGAGGAACACCAGUGGCGAAGGCGGCUCACUGGCUCGAUACUGACGCUGAGGUGCGAAAGCGUGGGGAGCAAACAGGAUUAGAUACCCGGGUAGUCCC
rnacentral:rRNA from 1 species